AUGCCGUGGUUACUAUCUGGAGUUUUCAAUGAAAUUUUACAUACCCAUAAAAAAGAAGGGGGUGUUGCAUGGCCCCAACGUUCCAUGCAAGCUUUCAACGAUGCCCUCUCUGACUGUGGUCUGGACGACCUUGGCUACACUGGCGACAUCUUCCCAUGGCGACGAGGAAACAUACGAGAGCGUCUAGAUCGUGCAACUAGUAACAUUCGAUGGGCGGACAUGUUCCCUGGUUACGGUGUGUCGAAUGAGGAAUUCGAUAAAUCCGAUCACCGACCGGUUCUUAUUGAUACAGAAUACCAGCUCAGAGUACAAACUAGAGGACCUUGCGGCCCUCGUAAAUUCGAGGCACGCUAG
rnacentral:rRNA from 1 species